rnacentral:snoRNA from 1 species
AUCCUUCAGAUUCCUUACCUCUCAGAUCUCAUAUUGAUCCGAGUAGCUAGAAAAGGGAGGAAAAAUGAAACUGAAGUGGACUUGGAGUCUUCAGGGAAGUGCAAAUUCACUUCGAAUAUAU